CAAUCAUACAUUACCAGGAGAGUCCAGGAACAGAGCAUUUUCUCCCUCAUAGAGAGGGUCAGCUGUUCUAAUGCUUGUUGAUGCAGUUGUCAUGGUGAUGGGGUUUUGUCACUGACACGCGCUGCUCAACUGUAGCGCUGACGUGUCUUGGUCGCGACUCUGACGGGAGCCGUGUACCGCUUCCGGCCCGGCGGCUGGCGCUGGCGCCAGCCAGUAGGAGCUUCCCUUUCACUUGGUGAUGUACUAAUAAAAGGUGACGCCUCUACUAGGGUGAGAAGAUGUUGCAUCAUCAUACAGUGGCGAAACUCCCAGAGUCACAGGAGGCAAUGGCUGCCAGGCUCCAGCUGUCAACGGGACACCAAGAAAGAAAGACAGACCAAAGGGGAUGAUGAAUUUGGACAGAUCUUUCUCCACUCAUGUCAUAGUGAUUUGCUACAGUCGCUAUUGACUACUGUCCAUGUUCAUAAACCCCCUUCACCUAAAGAGUCUUGUGACUGUGUGAUAACAGAUCAAAGUGUGUACUAUAGUGAGCUACAUCUCUGCUGUUGUUUCUAUUAUAAAGAAAGAAUUAGUAGAAGUUGUUUUAAGGAGAGAUAACAUUGUAAGAGAUAAUGUAUCAACCAAUCCACUCUGUCAUUUUUCAAAAACAGCCUGUAAAAUGUAAGGUACAGUAUAUAGAAGCUGACUGACUGGUACUUUAUCUCACCUAAUUUUACCUCUCUCUGAGCUUUGAUAACCGGGCUCUAUUUAUUAUCAUUUGCAGCCAGCACACUUAAUAAAGCUUCCAUAUUGCCACAAUUAGCUGCAAUAAAGAAUCUUUAUUCUCCCAGAUGUACUAUUGACAAGUUGUAGGGACAUCAGCACAUGUGCAAGUUGGAGCCACUGGUGGGGGGCACCACCUUCUGUUUUGCUUCCGGGCACCUUGUUCAAAAUUACGCCCCUGUUAUCAUAUGAGGUUACAGAAGAAGAUGCCUGAUUGUGUUUGACUCCGGCUUCCAAAAUAAGCAUUCUCGUGCAUGCAACAGCAUUAUCACUCAGGAAUUUGAAAACACAGUUUGCUCUUUAGCCUUAGUGGUCUUCUUGUGCACUGAUUUGUCUGUUUUCAAUGUGACACCUCUACCUCUAAUAU